rnacentral:rRNA from 1 species
UGCGCAGGCGGGCCUUUAAGUCAGUGGUGAAAUCUUGCCGCUUAACGGUAAAAUUGCCAUUGAAACUGAAGGUCUUGAAUAUGGUUGAGGUAGGCGGAAUGUGUUGUGUAGCGGUGAAAUGCAUAGAUAUGACACAGAACGCCGAUUGCGAAGGCAGCUUACUAAGCCAUUAUUGACGCUGAGGCACGAAAGCGUGGGGAGCGAACAGGAUUAGAUACCCUGGUAGUCC